AUUGAACGCUGGCGGCAGGCCUAACACAUGCAAGUCGAGCGAGCGGCGGACGGGUGAGUAAUGUAUGGGGACUGCCCGCUAGAGGGGGAUAACUACUGGAAACGGUAGCUCAUAACGCAUACUAUCGGAUAACCCAUAUGGGAUUAGCGAGUAGGUAGGGUAAAGGAUCACAUAAGCGACGAUCGGUAGCUGGUCUGAGAGGAUGAAGAGACACACUGGUACGGAGAAACGGCCCAGACUCCUACGGAGGCAGCAGUGGGGAAUAGUGCACAAUGGGCGCAAGCAGGAUGCAGCCAGGCCGCGUGUAUGAAGAAGGCCUUAGGGUUGUAAAGUACGUUCAGCGGGGAGGCGUGACCCGCAGAAGAAGCACCGGCUAACUCCGUGCCAGCAGCCGCGGUAAUAC
rnacentral:rRNA from 1 species